CUACGGGAGGCACCAGUGAGGAAUAUUGCAUAAUGGGGGGAACCCCGAUGCAGCAACGCCGCGUGGAGGAUGACGCAUUUCGGUGUGUAAACUCCUUUUAUAUGUCAAGAAAAUGACGGUAGCAUAUGAAUAAGCACCGGCUAACUCCGUGCCAGCAGCCGCGGUAAUACGGAGGGUGCAAGCGUUACUCGGAAUCACUGGGCGUAAAGGACGCGUAGGCGGGUUGGAAAGUCAGGUGUGAAAUCCUACAGCUUAACUGUAGAACUGCACUUGAAACUUCUAAUCUAGAGUAUGGGAGGGGGAGAUGGAAUUAGUGGUGUAGGGGUAAAAUCCGUAGAUAUCACUAGGAAUACCUAAAGCGAAGGCGAUCUCCUGGAACAUUACUGACGCUAAGGCGUGAAAGCGUGGGGAGCAAACAGGAUUAGAUACCCUAGUAGUC
rnacentral:rRNA from 1 species